UACAGAGGUGGCAAGCGUUGUUCGGAAUUACUGGGCGUAAAGGGCUCGUAGGCGGCCAACUAAGUCGGACGUGAAAUCCCCCGGCUUAACCUGGGAACUGCGUCUGAUACUGGAUGGCUUGAAUCCGGGAGAGGGAUGCAGAAUUCCAGGUGUAGCGGUGAAAUGCGUAGAUAUCUGGAGGAAUACCGGUGGCGAAGGCGGCAUCCUGGACCGGCAUUGACGCUGAGGAGCGAAAGCUAGGGGAGCAAACGGG
rnacentral:rRNA from 1 species